rnacentral:rRNA from 1 species
CGGAGGGGGCUAGCGUUGUUCGGAAUUACUGGGCGUAAAGCGCACGUAGGCGGCUUUGUAAGUUAGAGGUGAAAGCCUGGUGCUCAACACCAGAACUGCCUUUAAGACUGCAUCGCUUGAAUCAUGGAGAGGCGGGUGGAAUUCCGAGUGUAGAGGUGAAAUUCGUAGAUAUUCGGAAGAACACCAGUGGCGAAGGCGGCCCGCUGGACAUGUAUUGACGCUGAGGUGCGAAAGCGUGGGGAGCAAACAGGAUU